AGCUUUGCACAGUGGCAGUAUCAUAGCCAAUGAGGUUUAUCUGAGGCGCGAUUAUUGCUAAUUAAAAACUUUUCCCAAAAACU
rnacentral:snRNA from 1 species